rnacentral:rRNA from 1 species
AGAAUCAACGCUGGCGGCGUGCCUAACACAUGCAAGUCGCACGAGAAAGGGGAGCAAUCCCUGAGUAAAGUGGCGCACGGGUGAGUAACACGUGAAUGAUCUACCUCCGAGUGGGGAAUAAACUGAGAGAAAUCUUAGCUAAUACCGCAUAACACUUACGAGUCAAAGCAGCAAUGCGCUUGGAGAGGAGUUCGCGGCCGAUUAGCUAGUUGCGGGGUAAUGGCCCACCAAGGCGAUGAUCGGUA